rnacentral:rRNA from 1 species
GUGCAUGCCUAUGGCAUAGCGUUAAUGUACUGGAUCUCAUUAGAACUCCCCAGUUAAGCACGCUUGGGAUACAGUAGUACUGGGAUAGGUGAUCGUUGAGGAAGUCCUAGUGUUUUACAUG